AUUGAACGCUGGCGGCAGGCCUAACACAUGCAAGUCGAGCGAGCGGCGGACGGGUGAGUAAUGUCUGGGAAACUCCCUGAUGUGGGGGGGUAUCUACUGGAGACGGUGGAUCAUAUCGCACACCCUCACAUGUGUCCAUAUGGGAUUAGCUAGUAGGUGGGGUAACGGCUCACCUAGGCGACGAUCCCUAGCUGGUCUGAGAGGAUGACCAGCCACACUGGAACUGAGACACGGUCCAGACUCCUACGGGAGGCAGCAGUGGGGAAUAUUGCACAAUGGGCGCAAGCCUGAUGCAGCCAUGCCGCGUGUGUGAAGAAGGCCUUCGGGUUGUAAAGCACUUUCAGCGGGGAGGCGUUACCCGCAGAAGAAGCACCGGCUAACUCCGUGCCAGCAGCCGCGGUAAUAC
rnacentral:rRNA from 1 species